GACGAACGCUGGCGGCGUGCUUAACACAUGCAAGUCAAGGGGGCCCGCAAGGGCAACCGGCGAACGGGUGCGUAACACGUGAGCAAUCUGCCUAGAUGUGGGGGAUAGCCGGCCCAACGGCCGGGUAAUACCGCAUACGCUCUCCGGGUGGCAUCACCUGGUGAGGAAACUUUCGAGGCAUCUAGAGGAGCUCGCGGCCUAUCAGCUAGUUGGUGGGGUAAUGGCCUACCAAGGCAUUGACGGGUAGCUGGUCUGAGAGGAUGGCCAGCCACAUUGGGACUGAGAUACGGCCCAGACUCCUACGGGAGGCAGCAGUGGGGAAUAUUGCGCAAUGGCCGAAAGGCUGACGCAGCGACGCCGCGUGGGGGAUGAAGCAUUUCGGUGUGUAAACCCCUGUUGCCCGGGACGAACAACUGGAUUCUUCCAGUCUGACGGUACCGGGUGAGGAAGCACCGGCUAACUCCGUGCCAGCAGCCGCGGUAAU
rnacentral:rRNA from 1 species